GGGGCGCAGCAGGCGCGAAAACUUUACAAUGCCGGCAACGGCGAUAAGGGAACCUCGAGUGCCAGGUUACAAAUCUGGCUGUCGUGAUGCCUAAAAAGCAUUGCAUAGCAAGGGCCGGGCAAGACCGGUGCCAGCCGCCGCGGUAACACCGGCGGCUCGAGUGGUAACCGUUAUUAUUGGGUCUAAAGGGUCUGUAGCCGGCCGGGUAAGUCUCUUGGGAAAUCUGGCAGCUUAACUGUCAGGCUUUCAGGAGAUACUGCCUGGCUCGAGGCCGGGAGAGGUGAGAGGUACUUCAGGGGUAGGGGUGAAAUCUUGUAAUCCUUGAAGGACCACCAGUGGCGAAGGCGUCUCACCAGAACGGACCUGACGGCAAGGGACGAAAGCUAGGGGCACGAACCGGAUUAGAUACCCGGGUAGUCCUAGCCGUAAACGAUACUCGCUAGGUGUCGGCCACGGUGCGACCGUGGUCGGUGCCGUAGGGAAGCCGUGAAGCGAGCCACCUGGGAAGUACGGCCGCAAGGCUGAAACUUAAAGGAAUUGGCGGGGGAGCACAAGGGCGAAUNGCGGC
rnacentral:rRNA from 1 species